rnacentral:ncRNA from 2 species
UGGGUUAAGCUAUAAAAAAGUGCCCGUUGACUACGGUAACGGGAGAAUAGGGAAACAGGUGAAAAUCCUGUGCGGUUACGCCGCUGUAACGAAGGACGAAAGCAAAAUAACGCCACUGCAAAAUAUUUUUGCGGGAAGGCCUCGCGAGUAGAACGAUUUCGAAGUCAGAAGACCUGCUUUUUUAUGCUCAUCAUU